AUCUCUGUAGAGUCUGCAUAUCAAUAAGCGGAGGAAAAGAAACUAACAAGGAUUCCCUUAGUAACGGCGAGUGAAGCGGGAAGAGCUCAAAUUUGAAAUCUUCAGGGUUUUACCUUGACGAAUUGUAGUUUAAAGAAGUGUUUUCUGUUGAAGUUUCGGUAAAAGUUCUUUGGAAUAGGACAUCAUAGAGGGUGAGAAUCCCGUAUUUGACCGUUAUUUUCAGCUGUGUGAUACACUUUCAAAGAGUCGGAUUGUUUGGGAAUGCAGUCCAAAAUGGGUGGUAAAUUUCAUCUAAAGCUAAAUAUUGGCGAGAGACCGAUAGCGAACAAGUACCGUGAGGGAAAGAUGAAAAGAACUUUGAAAAGAGAGUUAAACAGUACGUGAAAUUGUCAAAAGGGAAGCGUUUGACACCAGUGUUGUUUUCUCGAAAAUCAAUUAAAAAUGGCUUGAUUUUGUGUUGUAUUGACCUUAAAAGCUUUCUUCACUUUUUUCAUGUCUUUUUUAAUGCACUUUUCGUUUAACAAGUCAACAUCAGUUUCUUUUGUUGUAAAAAGGUCAUUGGAAGGUGGCUUUCUUUUCGGAGAAAGUGUUUAUAGCCUUUGACUUCUGCAAUCGGAGAGACUGAGGUCUGCAGCGUAGAUCCUUCUGGGAUUAGAUUCAGUUAGAUGCUAAGUUAUACCGUUUUAUAGACAACUUGUUGACUAUAAUUCGAUCCUGUAGCUUACUCGCUUAUGGUAAUUUUACCUACGCUUAGGAUGUUGAUAUGCAUGACUGAUAU
rnacentral:rRNA from 1 species